rnacentral:rRNA from 1 species
AAUCGUGUUUCGGCACGAGUUGUAGAGUGUAGGCGGGAGUCUCUGUGGAGCGCGGUGUCCAAGUCCCUUGGAACAGGGUGCCUGAGAGGGUGAGAGCCCCGUAGGGUGCUGCGCGAAGCUUUUGAGGCCCUGCUGACGAGUCGAGUUGUUUGGGAAUGCAGCUCCAAGCGGGUGGUAAAUUCCAUCUAAGGCUAAAUAUUGGCGAGAGACCGAUAGCGAACAAGUACUGUGAAGGAAAGAUGAAAAGCACUUUGAAAAGAGAGUGAAACAGCACGUGAAAUUGUUGAAAGGGAAGGGUAUUGGGCUCGACAUGGGGGGUGCGCACCGCUGUCUCUUGUAGGCGGCGCUCUGGGCGCCCUCUGGGCCAGCAUCGGUUCCUGCUGCGGGAGAAGGGGCUCCGGAAAGUGGCUCUUCGGAGUGUUAUAGCCGGGGCCAGAUGCCGCGUGUGGGGACCGAGGACUGCGGCUUCUGUCUCGGAUGCUGGCAUAACGGCGCAAUACCGCCCGUCUUG